rnacentral:lncRNA from 1 species
GGAGGAUCCUCAAGCUGUGCCCCGAGGGCACAAGACGCGGCGGCCCGGCGGCUUCCUCAGCAGCCACUUCCGCACCUCGGUCAGGUUGACUCUCCUCCUUCCUCCUGGUGGCGGAUCUUCCCAGGAGAGAGCUGCAAACUGUGCGACAGCUCGCUGUACCUGCAACCCCUCCCAGGGGUGGGGACAGUCACGCGCGCUAUUCUGCCAAGAACAGCUAGGCGAGAGCCGGCGGCUGCUCACGCCGGGACCCCGCGUCGCCACGCCGGACAGCAGAGCCGAGUCCCUGACCCCGCGUGGGACUUGGAGCUGAAGGAGACAGUGGAUACUCCUUGGCACCACAGGAUUGCGCGCCUGUCCACUCCGCCCGCGCUUCCCUCUGGGUCUACGUGGCAGCCCCGCGAACCCACGACGCAGCCCCAUCCCUUCCUGAGCACAAGGCCCUUGCACCGGGUCACAGCCCUCACCAAGGUGGACACAGCCAAAGUACACUCCAAAGCGAAGGCAGUUGGGUGGGGAUGAUCGGUUUUCAGAGCCGCGCUUUCCUUUCACCGCCCACUGGGAUAUGUAGUUCUUGCUUGCUCCGGCCUUUUCUAAGAGGAAACGCAGACUUGGAGAUCUAAAAACUACAACUCCCUGCAUACCUCGCAACGAGGGCGGGAAAGGCGUGGUGCUGGGCAUUGUAUGGUGGUUGGAAAUGAAAACCAAUGAAGGGUAUGGCGAGGGUAGAGACCGUUGUGGUCAUUCAAUAGCAAAGCAGACUGGUAGAAGCCUUACAGUGUGUCCUCUUUCUUAUUCACCAUAUCUGGCACUGUGUGACUCCUGAUUCCUUCCCAAAGUGAAAAUAUUCACAAAAGGCAAACAUUUCAGGACAUCACUG